GGGUAGUUUCCCUGGGAGGCAGAUAGGAUACCGCACCCUCGAGUUGUCUCACCAUUUGAAUAGGUAUUGCUCAGCCCUGUGGAUUCAGUCAUCCCAGGGACCAUGGCUUUUGGCUUUCUGUCUUUUUGGAUGGUUGCUUUUCACAAUAUUGUGUUCUUUGCUUUAGACAAA
rnacentral:lncRNA from 1 species